AGAGUUUGAUCAUGGCUCAGUAUUGAACGCUGGCGGCAGGCUUAACACAUGCAAGUCGAGCGGAAACGAAGGUAGCUUGCUACCAGGCGUCGAGCGGCGGACGGGUGAGUAAUGCUUAGGAAUCUACCGAGUAGUGGGGGAUAGCCAUUGGAAACGAUGAUUAAUACCGCAUAUAUCCUACGGGGGAAAGCAGGGGACCUUCGGGCCUUGCGCUAUUCGAUGAGCCUGAGUGAGAUUAGCUAGUUGGUGGGGUAAAGGCCUACCAAGGCGACGAUCUCUAGCUGGUCUGAGAGGAUGAUCAGCCACACUGGGACUGAGACACGGCCCAGACUCCUACGGGAGGCAGCAGUGGGGAAUAUUGCACAAUGGACGAAAGUCUGAUGCAGCCAUGCCGCGUGUGUGAAGAAGGCCUUCGGGUUGUAAAGCACUUUCAGCGAGGAGGAAAGGUCAGUAAGUAAUAUUUGCUGGCUGUGACGUUACUCGCAGAAGAAGCACCGGCUAAUUUAGUGCCAGCAGCCGCGGUAAUACUAAAGGUGCAAGCGUUAAUCGGAAUUACUGGGCGUAAAGCGCGCGUAGGUGGUUUGUUAAGUUGGAUGUGAAAGCCCAGGGCUCAACCUUGGAACUGCAUUCAAAACUGACUCACUAGAGUACGAGAGAGGUUAGUGGAAUUUCCUGUGUAGCGGUGAAAUGCGUAGAGAUGGGAAGGAACACCAGUGGCGAUGCGACUGACUGGCUCGAU
rnacentral:rRNA from 1 species